AGGGUUCUUAUGUCCUAGAGUCCAAGAAUGAAUCUCACUGACACAGAAGGGUGAAGUGAGAGUUUAUUAAGUGAAGGACACCAUUGGAAGCAUUGGUUGUUCUACCAAGGCUUUGACUGGAAUAUUAUAUUUGAGAGACAUGCACAGACUCAUUUAUGACCAUACAUCUUUAAGGAACUAAAGUUGGCCUUGUGUCACAUGGAGCCAAUAAAGUCCCUUGGAACUGUUGGCCUGAUCCUUGCUUACAGAGGUCCUACCAGCUUUACCUAGCAAGUAAAAAAUGUCACUUCCUGGCACGUGCAGGGACUUCAGGAUGUUUUUGGGACCUUGAGAAAAGGAAUUUGCCCAAACCUGCAGUGUCUCCCUGCCUGAUGCCAAGACUCCUUCUCUGCUGACAGAUUGGUUCCCACUGGUAGAUGAUCCUUUCUACUCCAGGAGGUUCAUAUAUGCUGUCCACGUUGUAUUCAGCUGGAGAUCUGAUGAGGCUCUGCCUUUCAUAACCCCCUUCUAGGUUCCCCGACUGACCAACGUUGACCCACAAGCCCUCUGCUCUGCAGGAAGAAGCUACAGAAGAUGAGACCUUCCACCUUCAACAACCUUUAAGAUUUAAGGGUCAAAUUGUUCAGGGGAAAUGAUGAAGGAGCAGAAGGCAAGCAGACAGCAAAGCAGGAGCUGACACCGCCCUCCC